UCCGUAGGUGAACCUGCGGAAGGAUCAUUAAAGAAUCGCCGAAAGGCUUUCUUACACACACCCGUGCACAUGUGGCCUCGGCCGCUUAUUACACAAACAGUUGUCAUGAACGUGAAUUAUCAUAACAUUAAAACAACUUUCAACAACGGAUCUCUUGGCUCUCGCAUCGAUGAAGAACGCAGCGAAAUGCGAUAAGUAAUGUGAAUUGCAGAAUUCAGUGAAUCAUCGAAUCUUUGAACGCACCUUGCGCCUUUUGGUAUUCCGAAAGGCAUGCCUGUUUGAGUGUCAUGUAGACUCAACCCCUCGGGUUUCGUACCCGGGGCGUGUUGGAUUUGGGCCUUGGCUGUUACAAGCCUGGCCUUAAAUGUGUUAGUGGGUUCUGCUCAGACGUUUUAAGUACUCGUCGACCGCGGCCCUCUCAUAAAACCUCUAUACUUUGACUCUGACCUCAAAUCAGGUAGGACUACCCGCUGAACUUAAGCAUAUCAAUAAGCGGAGGA
rnacentral:rRNA from 1 species